rnacentral:rRNA from 1 species
AUUGAACGCUGGCGGCAUGCCUUACACAUGCAAGUCGAACGGCAGCACGGGGGCAACCCUGGUGGCGAGUGGCGAACGGGUGAGUAAUACAUCGGAACGUGCCCGGUAGUGGGGGAUAGCUCGGCGAAAGCCGGAUUAAUACCGCAUACGACCUGCGGGUGAAAGCGGGGGAUCGCAAGACCUCGCGCUAUCGGAGCGGCCGAUGUCAGAUUAGGUUGUUGGUGGGGUAAAGGCCACCAAGCCGACGAUCUGUAGCUGGUCUGAGAGGACGACCAGCCACACUGGGACUGAGACACGGCCCAGACUCCUACGGGAGGCAGCAGUGGGGAAUUUUGGACAAUGGGGGCAACCCUGAUCCAGCCAUUCCGCGUGAGUGAAGAAGGCCUU